rnacentral:rRNA from 1 species
GCAACCUGCCCGCCACAGGGGGAUAAGCGGAAGAAAUUCCGUCUAAUACCGCGUGACGCGGCGCCGGGGCAUCCCGGUGCCGCCAAAGGGAUUACCGGUGGCGGAUGGGCAUGCGGCGCAUUAGCUAGUCGGCGGGGUAACGGCCCACCGAGGCGACGAUGCGUAGGGGUUCUGAGAGGAAGGUCCCCCACACUGGUACUGAGACACGGACCAGACUCCUACGGGAGGCAGCAGUGAGGAAUAUUGGUCAAUGGGCGCGAGCCUGAACCAGCCAAGUCGCGUGAGGGAUGACGGUCCUACGGAUUGUAAACCUCUUUUGCCGGGGAGCAAGCGUGCGUUCGUGAACGCGCGUCGAGAGUACCCGGAGAAAAAGCAUCGGCUAACUCCGUGCCAGCAGCCGCGGUAAUACGGAGGAUGCGAGCGUUAUCCGGAUUUAUUGGGUUUAAAGGGUGCGUAGGCGGGAUGCCAAGUCAGCGGUAAAAAUGCGGUGCUCAACGCCGUCGAGCCGUUGAAACUGGCGUUCUUGAGUGGGCGAGAAGUAUGCGGAAUGCGUGGUGUAGCGGUGAAAUGCAUAGAUAUCACGCAGAACUCCGAUUGCGAAGGCAGCAUACCGGCGCCCUACUGACGCUGAGGCACGAAAGCGUGGGUAUCGAACAGGAUUAGAUACCCUGGUAGUCCACGCAGUAAACGAUGAAUGCUAACUGUCCG